UCGCCGACACAACUCCCGGAUCCGCCAUACUCGCCGCCCCUGCUCCAUCCCCAUCCUCACCGCAACCUCCAACUCCCCUUACCCCAUCCCCACCGCAACAGCUCCGAGCAAUGGCCGGAUACCGUGAUUGGUCGCAGGGUGCUUCAUCCUCGGCGGCCCCUUCGUUCCCUAUUCCUGCGCCCAUUCCCGAUCCAGAGGAGUUGGAGUUCAUGUCCCAGGGCCCGUCGCGCGCUCGGGCGGCUCCAUC
rnacentral:lncRNA from 1 species